GACAGAGGGUGCAAACGUUGUUCGGAAUUGCUGGGCGUAAAGCGCGUGUAGGCGGCUUGGCAAGUCGGAUGUGAAAGCCCUGGGCUCAACCUAGGAAGUGCAUUCGAAACUGCCGAGCUUGAGUUCUGGAGAGGAAGGCGGAAUUCUCGGUGUAGAGGUGAAAUUCGUAGAUAUCGAGAGGAACACCGGUGGCGAAGGCGGCCUUCUGGACAGCAACUGACGCUGAGACGCGAAAGCGUGGGGAGCAAACAGG
rnacentral:rRNA from 1 species